ensembl:lncRNA
AUCUCAUCUUGAGAUCACUCCUCUUGGAGCUCUUCUGCAAGCCCAGGACAUGGGGAGGAAAACCUGUUUUCCAGCCUUCUGAUGAGAGGAAAAGUACAAAUGAGCUGCAGAAAGCAGGAACCGGCACCUGCAGCAUGAUCCUGCCUGAACAUUUCUGACUACCCAAGAAAUAUUCAAGUUACUCAGUGCUGUGAAUUCCAUUUUGGACUAGGAUGGACUUUAGUUAAUGAUGGAAAUGUGCAGUUUUGACACCCUCUCUAUUACGGAACUAAACAAAGCCACUGGGCUCUCUAAACAAUAAUAGAAGUUAUUCUAGUCUCCAUGGGAAUAAUUAGGUAAGGACAUGGCUACAGAUGCCAACUAGAUCUCUCUUACCUCCCGAAGUCCAUGGUUCUGUUUGCAGAGUUCCUUUGCUACAAGAGUGAAUAAACAAAUUAGAUCUUUUUAACAAAAAUUGCCUGAAGAGACAGUUAAUCUAGCAUGUGCAGUUAUUGCUGUCAUAAAAACACACCCUUCAAGAGCAACAGUUCUUUCACGAUAAAAAGGAUGACCAGAGUUUACUGAAGGAUGAAUACUGGGGCUGAAGCCUGGGAAUACAGAACUCAGAGGAACUUUAUUUCUGAACUGUGGGCUUUCAAGUGAUGUUUAAAAUAGUAUUGAAUAGAGACUAGGAAAAAGAAAUGGAAAACAGCAUCUUUAGAUAGUUGUUCUAGUCUCUGAGGUCUUUCCUUCUAAAUAAAUACUUUCUUUAAGGAAGUAAUAAUGCUGUCUUAAAAGACGGGCAGUGUUUCAAUCCAGUAAUCCCACUGUGGGACAGUUUAGCACAAGGAAUUCACAGUUUAACUACAGAAUAAAGCUGUUUAAAGAUGUACAAGGAAACAGUGACCUAAUCAACAUUGCUAGGCUAACACUACUGCAUAUACUGACUAUAUGACAAAUGAUGGCACUGACAAAAUGUUGAGAAGAAACUGUGCUUUUACACCUGAAUUGCCUUUUACAGUCCUAGCAUCACAGCAGGUGAAAAUGAAAGGAAGCAGAAAUGUCUCCCAUGGAUACUACUGGCCAAAAUGUUUAGAUUUCAACCCCGUACUGUGCACGCAUACUGACAGUGGAGUAUGCAUGAGCAAAUAAAGUGGAAAUAAAUAUUUCAGCAGUCACACAUCAUAGCAGUAGUGAGAAUCAGAACCUUGUGUUUGUAGCUCUUCGUCACUUCUGUGUAGGAAUAUUUGAAAGCCUUAAUUGUCUACUGGCCUAACCAUGAGGUGAUGAUCACUGCCUACAAAGUGCUGAAAGCUCUCAGAAACUGCUGCAGUCAUAGUGAAGAGAUGCUGAUACUCAGUACUUUACAGCAGCAGCAACAUCCUUCCUCUCCAGACCCAUACUGUUUUUUGGAGGUCCUCAUUGCAACCAACAGUUGUCACUAAACAAACAGUAGCAGUUCAUCUGGAGUUCCAGCUGUGAUUGGGCUGACAGCUUCAAUUUCCAAGCUUGGCAUCAAUGAAAUCUGUUUCUGACUCUGGAGAAGAAACAACGCAUUUGAUCUUGACUUGUGGAAGACCACUCCUUCCCCCAUCCUCCCACGCCUUUCAUGUCUCCUUGAAUUGAAUCUGCUGCUGCCAGCACGCAGGGGAAGCCAGGUCUGGUGAUGUCAACAGGACUCCUCCAAGCAGACUACGUGUCAUCAAAGAGCUGUUCCUUGGAGGAAACCUGGAGCAGCGCCUGGAGCUAGUGGAGGCUGCCAGCAAUCUGAGAAGCAUUUCUCUUGUUGAAGGGGGCCAAGGGGCACUGGUGGUCUGUCCUUCUCAUCAAAUCAGUCAGACACUAAGGAGCAAUUCCAGCAAAAUAGUCCAAAGUAAGCACCAUGAUUCUGAGAAGGGUAAAUGACACUAGAAGCUGAAGAAGUCCUUGAAGAAAUAAUGUGGUAAUAUUUCACUAGGCCACCUACUGCCACAGUUAAACAGCUGCACUAUGUACAAAUGUAAGAUGAGGCGGUCUUAAGAAGCAGGGAAUCCCAGCAGGAAGUGUGGGCAAUAUUCUUAUACCUCACUUUAAAGCAGGCAAAAAAAUCCCUCCAGAAAUCCUGGCCCAGAAAUCUGAAAAACAAAUUAUGAGGAAAAUUUACCUAUGCUAAAGAGUGUUUGAAGAUGAUUGGAAGACACAUUAGUAGAAAGGAGCAGAAUAGUACUGCAUGGUUCUCCUUUUAACCAGCAGCAGACCUAGAGAUUAUCUAAUUAUCUGCAAUUGUCCAGUACCUUUUUUUUAUUAAAAUCAGGGUGCUGGG